AUUCUCCUUACUUUUCUGUAUGUUAUAUAGCAGUUAGUUACAGUGAUCUUGUGUGCUACAUCCCUAGUAUUUAUAUAUCUUGUAAGUGGAAGCUUGUACCUUUGAUCGUCUUCCUCCAAUUCCCCUUCCUCUGCCUCUGGUAACCGCAAGUCUGAUCUCUUUCUCUAUGAGUUUGUUUUCAGAUACUACAUACAAAUGAGAUUAUACAGGUUGUUUCCAUUGUUGGCUAUUGAAAUGAUGCUGCAGAGAAAUAGGGGUGCAGAUAAUCCUUUUAAACUAUUAUUUUCAUUUCUUUUGUAUGUAUUUCCCAGAAGGGGUGUUGUCAGAGCAGAUUGUAGUUCUACUUUUAAUUUUUUGAGGAACCCAUGUAGCAUUUUCCAUAGUGACUAUUCCCACCUGUUAGAAAUGGGAGAAACAGAUGAGACAAGUAGAAUCAGGUGAGGAGAUGAAAAUGCGCUUUAAUAUAGUAGCUGGGAGAGAGUAGUUGCCGAGGGAGCGUGUGCGUGUGUGUGUGUGUGUGUGUGUAUUUCUGGUUGCCUGGGAAGACUGAGCCUCAGGGAAUUCUCUUGAGAUAUGUCCAGUGUAGGCAGGAGCAAGGUAAGUUCUUCCUGUGUGGAUGAGGGACUCUGUGCUUCCGUCUGUCUCCCUCAGUCUGAGAUAAGUUCUGUUCCUUCAGGUUGCUGAUCAGGUCUCAGCAGCAAUGUCUCCUUCACCACCAACAGUGUAUACAGACUUCUUUGUGUCCACACUUUUCCCAGCAUCUUCUUAUCUUUUUCUUUCUAGCUGGUCAUUGUAAUAGGUGUGAGGUGAUAACAGCGUGGUUUGAUUUGCAUUUCUUUAAUGAUUAUUGAUGUUGAGGAUGUAUAUUAUUAUAAUAAAAACUCCUGAUUUAUAGUCAUUAUAUAACUUAAUGUAUUUCUGGGCAGGAGAAAUAUCACAGUGGUUUACACAACAGACUCUUAAGCCUGUAGUGUUAAAGGACUGAGGUUCAACUCUUGGCACUACCAUAAGCCAAAACUGGUUAAAAAAAAAAAAGAAAAGAAAAUAUUUUCAUAGAAAUACUUUAAUAGUGGUUCAGAAAAAUCGUGUAUUGAAAACCAGCUACGUAUCUGACAUUACUCUGUACUGGAGUUACAGUAAUGUGUGCCUGCUGUAGUUUACAGUGUGUUAGGGAGGCUAUUUGUAUAGUAUGCUGUGAAUACUGUGAGCUAUUAUGAUUUACUGUUGGUGGAGCUGAGAGAGACACUCUGCUUAAUGAGUCAGGGUUGACUUUCAAGAGAUUAAAUGAUAGCCAGGGGAAUAAAAAGGAAAAAAAAAUUAAUCCAGCCCCACACAUUCCUAGAUAUGAUUCAGAUGAUCUGGGAAUUUUUUUUUAUUGUUGUUGUUAUUGAUGUCAUUGUUGUUGGAUAGGACAGAGAGAAAUGGAGAGAGGAGGGGAAGACAGAGAGGGGGAGAGAAAGACAGACACCUGCAGACCUGCUUCACCGCCUGUGAAGCGACUCCCCUGCAGGUGGGGAGCCAGGGGCUGAACUGGGAUCCUUACACUGGUCCUUGUGCUUCGUGCCAUGUUCACUUAACCCGCUGCACUACUACCCAACUCCCUGGUAUAGUUUAAACAGUCUCCUUAACUGAGUUUCAUAUGCCCAAGUUGGCACCAGGUUUUGGACUAAGACACAGGACCUGCAUUUGGAAGUAUGAAUCUGAAAAAUAUAUUCAAGGGGUUGUUUCAAAAUAGAAUUUGAAGAAGUCCCAAAUCUUCCCAUAAUUGCUAUGACCAAACGAUGCUUCAAAUGUCUUCUUAAUCACAAUGAUUCAAGUGGUAGAUGAGAACUAGGUGAGUUGAGAAGAGAGAGAUAGGGUAUAAUGAUCACCUUAAAAUUAUCUUCAUAUUGUCAACAUUAAAGAAAAUGCCAAUUAUUAUUAUUUUUUAAAGUUUUUAAAAAUAUUUAUUCCCUUUUGUUGCC